rnacentral:lncRNA from 1 species
UGGAACAGACUUAUCUUGAGUCGACAACGGACUCACAACGCUAAGACUCACCGGAGAGAGAAUGAACAUGGCCAUAGAACUCAAGCCGGAGGACCUCUGAGUCAGUGGUCUUCAAAAUUGGACUUCGAUAUUUGAACAAAAGGAUCAUAGAAGGGAGUAAGGGUGAGUAUAGGUUGCACGAAGCCUGGGAGGCCAUGGUUUCUGGUGAAAAAAGGUUGGAAAAUGGUCGGAGAAGAGCUAGGGUUUCAGGGGUGGUAGAGAGCAUUUGGGAACAAAAGGGUUUCAGGGGCGGCUGUCUG